rnacentral:rRNA from 1 species
CCUACGAGAGGCAGCAGUAGGGAAUCUUCCACAAUGGGCGAAAGCCUGAUGGAGCAACGCCGCGUGGGUGAAGAAGGUCUUCGGAUCGUAAAACCCUGUUGUUAGAGAAGAAAGUGCGUGAGAGUAACUGUUCACGUUUCGACGGGAUCUAACCAGAAAGCCACGGCUAACUACGUGCCAGCAGCCGCUGUAAUACGUAGGUGGCAAGCGUUAUCCGGAUUUAUUGGGCGUAAAGGGAACGCAGGCGGUCUUUUAAGUCUGAUGUUAAAGCCUUCGGCUUAACCGGAGUAGUGCAUUGGAAACUGGGAGACUUGAGUGCAGAAGAGGAGAGUGGAACUCCAUGUGUAGCGGUGAAAUGCGUAGAUAUAUGGAAGAACACCAGUGGCGAAAGCGGCUCUCUGGUCUGUAACUGACGCUGAGGUUCGAAAGCGUGGGUAGCAAACAGGAUUAGAUACCCUGGUAGUC